CGCGGGGUGGAGCAGCUCGGUAGCUCGCUGGGCUCAUAACCCAGAGGUCACAAGUUCAAAUCUUGUCCCCGCUACCA
rnacentral:tRNA from 2 species